rnacentral:rRNA from 1 species
UGAGUAACACAUAUGCAAUCCACCUGUAACAGGGGGAUAACCCGGAGAAAUCCGGACUAAUACCCCAUAAUAUGGGCGCUCCGCAUGGAGAGCCCAUUAAAGAGAGCAAUUUUGGUUACAGACGAGCAUGCGCUCCAUUAGCCAGUUGGCGGGGUAACGGCCCACCAAAGCGACGAUGGAUAGGGGUUCUGAGAGGAAGGUCCCCCACAUUGGAACUGAGACACGGUCCAA